AUACGGAGGGUGCAAGCGUUGUUCGGAAUCACUGGGCGUAAAGGGCGCGCAGGCGGUUUGGUAAGUCAGAUGUGAAAGCCCACGGCUCAACCGUGGAAGUGCAUUUGAAACUGCCAGACUUGAGUACCAGAGGGGAAAGUGGAAUUCCCGGUGUAGAGGUGAAAUUCGUAGAUAUCGGGAGGAAUACCGGUGGCGAAGGCGACUUUCUGGCUGGAUACUGACGCUGAGGCGCGAAAGCGUGGGGAGCGAACAGGAUUAGAAACCCGGGUAGUCC
rnacentral:rRNA from 1 species